rnacentral:other from 1 species
AGACGCCUGCGCUGUUGGUGAUAGGAAUGUAUUUUUUUGAACCUAGAGCUUUUUAGGGAUCCCAAUAUUUGGCUGCAAUGGUCACGCCCUUCGGGGAAGACCUGACCAUCCGUGCGGGAACCCACCUGUUAAUCAGGUUCAAAAAGCUUACCUACACGGCAGUGCGGGUACUG